ensembl:misc_RNA Metazoa_SRP Metazoan signal recognition particle RNA
CCUGAUUGAUGUGGUGAUAUUUGCCUGUAGGCCCAGCUACUUGGAAGGCUGAGGUGGGAGGAUCACUUGAGUCCAGGAGUUCUGGGCUGCAGUGUGCUAUGCGUAUUGGGUGUCCACACUAAGUUUAGCAUCAAUAUGGUGACUUCCCAGGAGCAGGAGACCACUAGGUUGACUAAGGAAGGGUAAACUGGCCCAGGUAAGAAAUGGAGCAAGUCAAAACUCCCAUGCUGUUCAGUAGUGGGAUCAUGCCAGUUCAUAAGAAUUAUGCUGAAAUUUUAUGUGUAGCUCUU